UGCGGGGUGGUGCAAUGGUAACACGCCUCUCUUUGGAAGAGGAAUUCUUGGUUCGAAUCCAAGCCCCGCAGCCA
rnacentral:tRNA from 1 species